GCGGGAAUAGCUCAGUUGGUAGAGCACGACCUUGCCAAGGUCGGGGUCGCGAGUUCGAGUCUCUAUUUCUUCC
rnacentral:tRNA from 1 species